AGGUAUAGCUCAAGUGGUAGAGCGCAUGCUUAGCAUGCGUGAGGUCCUGGGUUCAAUCCCCAGUAACU
rnacentral:tRNA from 1 species